rnacentral:pre_miRNA from 1 species
AGCCUUCUGUAUCCGUGCUUAGAUUUCGUCACACACCAGACCACCAGAGAUGAUGAAACUUCUAGGAUAAAUGAAGCG